rnacentral:rRNA from 1 species
UACGUAGGUGGCAAGCGUUAUCCGGAAUUAUUGGGCGUAAAGAGCGCGCAGGUGGUUAAUUAAGUCUGAUGUGAAAGCCCACGGCUUAACCGUGGAGGGUCAUUGGAAACUGGUUGACUUGAGUGCAGAAGAGGGAAGUGGAAUUCCAUGUGUAGCGGUGAAAUGCGUAGAUAUAUGGAGGAACACCGGUGGCGAAAGCGGCUCUCUGGCCUGUAACUGACACUGAGGCUCGAAAGCGUGGGGAGCAAACAGG